AACGAACGCUGGCGGCAUGCCAAACACAUGCAAGUCGAACGAGACCUUCGGGUCUAGUGGCGCACGGGUGCGUAACGCGUGGGAACCUGCCCUUAGGUUCGGAAUAACUCCCCGAAAGGGGUGCUAAUACCGGAUAAUGUCUUCGGACCAAAGAUUUAUCGCCUUUGGAUGGGCCCGCGUUGGAUUAGCUAGUUGGUAGGGUAAAAGCCUACCAAGGCGACGAUCCAUAGCUGGUCAGAGAGGAUGAUCAGCCACACUGGGACUGAGACACGGCCCAGACUCCUACGGGAGGGAGCAGUGGGGAAUAUUGGACAAUGGGCGAAAGCCUGAUGCAGCAAUGCCGCGUGAGUGAUGAAGGCCUUAGGGUUGUAAAGCUCUUUUACCCGGGAUGAUAAUGACGGUACCGGGAGAAUAAGCUCCGGCUAACUCCGUG
rnacentral:rRNA from 1 species